CACGCCCUAAACGAUGGAUGCUAAGUGUCGGGGUAACCCGGUGCUUUAAGCUAACGCAUUAAGCAUCCCGCCUGAGAAGUACGGUCGCAAGAUUAAAACUCAAAUGAAUAGACGGGGACCCACACAAGCAGUGGAUCAUGUUGUUUAAUUCGACAAUAAACGAGAAACCUCACCCAGGCUUGACAUCGAAGGAAUCUGCCAGAAACGGCGGAGUACCCGCAAGGGACCCGAAGACAGGUGC
rnacentral:rRNA from 1 species